ACAUCUUCGUUGGGAGAACGGGGCAUACAGUUUGUGUACCCGUGCCGAAGGAGCAACCGCCCCGGUAAACUCUCAGGCAAACGGACCUUCGAAGAUCA
rnacentral:ncRNA from 2 species